rnacentral:rRNA from 1 species
UACGAAGGGUGCAAGCGUUACUCGGAAUUACUGGGCGUAAAGCGUGCGUAGGCGGUUUGUUAAGUCUGAUGUGAAAGCCCUGGGCUCAACCUGGGAAUGGCAUUGGAUACUGGCAACCUAGAGUGUGGUAGAGGGUGGCGGAAUUCCCGGUGUAGCAGUGAAAUGCGUAGAUAUCGGGAGGAACAUCCGUGGCGAAGGCGGCCACCUGGACCAACAUUGACGCUGAGGCACGAAAGCGUGGGGAGCAAACAGG